AAAAGGAUGCGCGGUAGAGGAGCAAUGUGCAGAGGCAGAAGCCGUAUCGAGAGGCACGGUGGACACUGCACAAGAGAGAAUGCUGGUAUGAGUAGCGAGAGGCAUGCGAGAAACAUGCCCGUCGAAAGCCCAAGGUUUCCUGGGGAAGGUUCAUCCGCCCAGGGUAAGUCGGGGCCUAAGCCGAGGACGGAAGUCGUAGGCGAUGGACAGCAGGUGUAGAUUCCUGCACUACCGAUGGAAUGAAGCAGUGACACAGAAGGAUAACUCGAGCAGGGUGAUGGUCAACCCUGUGCAAGCAUUGAGGUUGGGUUGUAGUGAAGUACGCAAUCCUAUAAGCUGAGAUGUGAUGCGGACCGAAAUUUCAGUAGGGAAGCGAGUGAGUUCACGCUGGCGAGAAAAGCUGCUAGUACAUCCAAAGGUACCCGUACCGGAAACCGACGCAGGUGGGCGAGGAGAGAAUCCUGAGACGAACGGGAGAACCCUUGUUAAGGAACUCGGCAAAAUGACCCCGUAACUUCGGGAUAAGGGGUGCCUGCGAGAGCAGGCCGCAGAGAAUAGUCACAAGCGACUGUUUAGCAAAAACACAGGUAUCUGCGAAAGCGAGAGCUGACGUAUAGGUGCUGACACCUGCCCGGUGCUGGAAGGUUAAGGGAACAUGUUAGAGCAAUCGAAGCAUCGAACCGAAGCCCCAGUAAACGGCGGCCGUAACGAUAACGGUCCUAAGGUAGCGAAAUUCCUUGUCGGGUAAGCUCCGACCCGCACGAAUGGUGUAACGACUUGUGAGCUGUCUCAACAGGGGGCCCGGUGAAAUUGAAGUAUGGGUGAAGAUGCCCAUUACCCGCGACUGGACGGAAAGACCCCGUAGAGCUUUACUGCAGCCUGAUAUUGAGUUUCGGUAACUGAUGCACAGGAUAGGUGGGAGUCUGAGAGACUUGGGUUUCGGCUCAUGUGGAGACGGUGUUGGGAUACCACUCUUCGGUUACUGAAAUUCUAACAUAGCUCUGUGAAACCAGAGGAUGGACAGUGUCAGGUGGACAGUUUGACUGGGGCGGUCGCCUCCGAAAGAGUAACGGAGGCGCCCAAAGGUACCCUCAGAAUGGAUGGAAACCAUUCGAAGAGCGCAAGGGCAGAAGGGUGCCUGACUGCGAGAUUGACAAAUCGAGCAGAGACGAAAGUCGGGCUUAGUGAUCCGGCGGUAUUGAGUGGAAAAGCCGUCGCUUAACGGAUAAAAGCUACCUCGGGGAUAACAGGCUGAUCUCCCCCAAGAGUCCUCAUCGACGGGGAGGUUUGGCACCUCGAUGUCGGCUCGUCGCAUCCUGGGGCUGAAGCAGGUCCCAAGGGUUUGGCUGUUCGCCAAUUAAAGCGGCACGCGAGCUGGGUUCAGAACGUCGUGAGACAGUUCGGUCCCUAUCCAUCGUGGGCGUAGGAGUCAUGAGAGGAGCUGUUCCUAGUACGAGAGGACCGGAAUGGACGCACCACUGGUGCAACUGUUGUCGUGCCAACGGCAUAGCAGGGAAGCGAAGUGCGGAUGGGAUAAACGCUGAAGGCAUCUAAGCGUGAAGCCCACCUCAAGAAUAAGACUCCACAAUAGACCCCUGGAGGACUACCAGGUAGAUAGGUCAUCGGUGGAAGCGCUGUAAGGCGUGUAGCUUGAUGAUACUAAUCGGUCGAAAGCUUCAUUAA
rnacentral:rRNA from 1 species